rnacentral:rRNA from 1 species
AUUGAACGCUGGCGGCAGGCCUAACACAUGCAAGUCGAGCGGAUGAGAAGAGCUUGCUCUUCAAUUCAGCGGCGGACGGGUGAGUAAUGCCUAGGAAUCUGCCUGGUAGUGGGGGACAACGUUUCGAAAGGAACGCUAAUACCGCAUACGUCCUACGGGAGAAAGCAGGGGACCUUCGGGCCUUGCGCUAUCAGAUGAGCCUAGGUCGGAUUAGCUAGUUGGUGGGGUAAUGGCUCACCAAGGCGACGAUCCGUAACUGGUCUGAGAGGAUGAUCAGUCACACUGGAACUGAGACACGGUCCAGACUCCUACGGGAGGCAGCAGUGGGGAAUAUUGGACAAUGGGCGAAAGCCUGAUCCAGCCAUGCCGCGUGUGUGAAGAAGGUCUUCGGAUUGUAAAGCACUUUAAGUUGGGAGGAAGGGCAUUAACCUAAUACGUUAGUGUUUUGACGUUACCGACAGAAUAAGCACCGGCUAACUCUGUGCCAGCAGCCGCGGUAAUACAGAGGGUGCAAGCGUUAAUCGGAAUUACUGGGCGUAAAGCGCGCGUAGGUGGUUUGUUAAGUUGGAUGUGAAAGCCCCGGGCUCAACCUGGGAACUGCAUCCAAAACUGGCAAGCUAGAG